rnacentral:rRNA from 1 species
GGGGAAUAUUGGACAAUGGGCGCAAGCCUGACGCAGCGACGCCGCGUGAGUGAUGAAGGCCUUCGGGUUGUAAAGCUCUGUGGGGAGAGACGAAUAAGUGGAGGCUAAUAUCCUCCAUGAUGACGGUAUCUCCUUAGCAAGCACCGGCUAACUCUGUGCCAGCAGCCGCGGUAAGACAGAGGGUGCAAACGUUGUUCGGAAUUACUGGGCGUAAAGCGUGUGUAGGCGGUCUCAUAAGUCGGGUGUGAAAGCCCUGGGCUCAACCCAGGAAGUGCACUCGAUACUGCGAGGCUAGAGUACUGGAGAGGUUGGUGGAAUUCUCGGUGUAGAGGUGAAAUUCGUAGAUAUCGAGAGGAACACCGGUGGCGAAGGCGGCCAACUGGACAGAUACUGACGCUGAGACACGAAAGCGUGGGGAGCAAAC